rnacentral:rRNA from 1 species
GAUGAACGCUGGCGGCGUGCUUAACACAUGCAAGUCGAACGAGAAGUGAAGACGGAAACCUUCGGGCGGAAGGCUUUAUUUCGAGUGGCGGACGGGUGAGUAACGCGUGGGUAACCUGCCUCAUACAGGGGGAUAACAGUUGGAAACGACUGUUAAUACCGCAUAAGACCACAGCAGCGCAUGGUGCGGGGGUAAAAACUCCGGUGGUAUGAGAUGGACCCGCGUUCGAUUAGCCAGUUGGCGGGGUAACGGCCCACCAAAGCGACGAUCGAUAGCCGAUCUGAGAGGAUGACCGGCCACAUUGGGACUGAGACACGGCCCAAACUCCUACGGGAGGCAGCAGUGGGGAAUAUUGCACAAUGGGGAAAACCCUGAUGCAGCGACGCCGCGUGAGUGAAGAAGUAUUUCGGUAUGUAAAGCUCUAUCAGCAGGGAAGAAAAUGACGGUACCUGAGGAAGAAGCCCCGGCUAACUACGUG